GAGCUACAUUCAUGGAAGCAGCCAGGCUCAAUUCGUGGCAGAGUCACACAUUAUUCUGGUACUAAACGCUGCUAUCACCAUGGGGAUGGUUCUUCUAAAUGAAGCGGCAACAUCCAAAGGAGAUGUUGGAAAAAGACGAAUCAUUUGUCUAGUGGGAUUAGGCCUGGUGGUCUUCUUCUUCAGUUUUCUACUUUCAAUAUUUCGUUCCAAGUACCAUGGCUAUCCUUACAGCUUUUUAAUUAAAUGAAGCCAAGUGGGAUUUGCAUAAAGUGAAUGUUUACCGUGAAGAUAAAGUGUUCCUGACAUACUAGUUUGAAUUCCUGAGUUCAUUUCCUUGCCGAUUGUGAUAAUCCAGCUUAGUCUUGUAUCAUUUUUUUAAACGUGAGUUUUCCUAGUAAACUUAAUUUAUAGAAGUGGAUGGUUACAUUUAAUAUGGAAAUAACGAACUGUUGAAGUGUUUCUCAAGCAUAUUAUAUUCAGUGUGUGCUGUAAAAUUGAAAUAAAUGAUAAUGUAAUCAUGAAUUCAUGUUUUAAAACUGUUCACUCACUGGUAAAGAAAACUCCAGUGUUAGUAAAGGAAAACUGUGAAAUGUAUCUUCAACAACUUGGGGUUGUAUAGAGGUGAGGUGUAUGCAUGAAAAUAUGUCAUGUACUGAAAAAUUAUACUUAACUGCAGCUUCAGUAUAAAUGAUGUGUAUGGUUACAAAAAGCGUUUUGUUCUUAUUAAUCUUAUUUAGAUAAAGGAGAUAGGACAGGUAAUGGGAUGAAUAGCGCUUGGAUGUCCACCCAGGGAAAUAGAGGUUUUCCCUAGGAUGUACAUCUAAAGCAAACAUGACUACAAACAUGACACCAUGCCUCAAGGCAUCAGGCAACACAAGCAACACACCAGAACUAGGAAUUCAUUCUUCUCCAAUUUUACAAGUGUCACCCAAGAAUCCAGAUAUAUAACCACAAAACUAACCCUUGAUGGACAUUUUCCCCUUAUGUUAUAUGGAAGAAGCUUUGCCAUCGAAUCUCUAUUCCCUGGAUCUAGAUAGAGAUUAAUUAUCCUAAUAUGAGUGAGUGACUCAAUGAAGCUUUCUUGAAAACCAACUAUAUAAGUAUAACCAUAACUAUGCCUGCAUUUCCUCUUUCAGUUUAUAAAAAGCUUUCCUAUCUGUUAUGGUAUUUUUUCCUCACAACAACUCUGUAAAUUAGAUGGGCAUUCAGACAGGAAAUGUAAAUUUUUCUGACUUAAAUUUAAGUACUGGAAGCUGAAAGCCAAAAAGAAAAAAAUAGAGCUUGUAACUCUGCUUUCAAACUCUCAAACCUGAAUUUUUAUUUUCUGUGGUGCUACCUAAAGAAACACAGUUAUUUAUUCAGCUCAGUAAACUUCUUUUUUAGGCUUUUGUAGUCUAAUUUUCAUUAGGUUCUGACUAAUAGACCAUGGAGAACUUUGUUGAUUGAGAGUUCCAGCUAUGUAGUCUCAAGACAGGAACCAGGAUCUGCUGCAUCUCCCUGUUUUGUACUGUGGAAUUCAAUGAUGAAUGGGAAGUUAAAAGCCUGGAGGGGCAAAGGAAGUUAAAUCCCAGGGCAGUAUUGUGAGAGCAGGAAGAAAGCUAUUUUGUCAAAACAUUCAUAUAUUUGGCAAAAACUGCAAAGUAAUUCUGAACUAUGUUAACCGUACCACUUAGUCCCAAAAUCUAUUAUUAAAAAUCACAUAAUUCCCCUAGUUCCUGUUCAAAGAUUGAUAAAUUCAGUAUUGGAAUGGCUUUUAUGGAAAAGCAAUCAGUGAUCUUAGCAAUUUGUUUAAAGCCUAUGUCUAGAUAGCAUUUUACCUGUAAAUCUUAAACCAUUAAGUAUUCUAAUAUUUUCUAAAAUUUAUUCAGAACAAACAUUAAAAUUGGGAGUUUGAGGCCAAAUUUUUACAUUGAGUAAGUGUUUCUUUAGUAAUUAUAGUUACUUUUGUUUGUCCCCUUAAAGCUCGGAAUUCCUAUUAACACACACCUAAGAGCUCUAUGAAGCCUUUUCAUGUUUAAUCAUGACCAGAGUCAGUUCUCAGACACAGUGACCUAGGUAAGGAGAACUUCCCAAUCCCAGAUUAGUAAAAAAUAUCUAGCUUAUAUUAUGUAAUUUUCUCUGAACAUUAAGUAAUGCCAAUUAUGAAAAGAAAUUUUUUUUCCAGAAUUUUGGUUUAAAAACCUAUUGCUUCUCUAUAGACAGUUAUUGCAUUAGGAAAAGAGAAAAAAAAAAAAGAAAGAAAGAAAAAGAAAACUACCUCAAAGUCAUUAUUUGAAAGUGCUACAGGCAAAACUACAAAGGGUGACUCAAACGAAGUUUGCUUUCAGAAUGUAACAUAUGGCAUGUCACAUACAAAAUAUGCUAUUACUUUUGCCAGCUAAUUUAAAUUGAAAAAUGUAUUUGUAUUUGGAAUGUUAUAUCUUACAAUGUCACUUCAACCUGACUCACUGUAUUGAAAACUCCCUUAAAAACAUAUAUUUAACAAGCUCCAGUUAAAAUAAGAAUUACUUUCCUACUCAGUUGGAGUUAAAAAUCUUAAAAUUUUAUCUAAAGGAGUACAAUUCUAUCUACAAUAACUUCUGAUGAAUAAAGUUUUCCAUUUUGCUCA
rnacentral:lncRNA from 1 species